UGGGGAAUUUUGCUCAAUGGGGGAAACCCUGAUGCAGCGACGCCGCGUGAUUUAGAAGGCCUUCGGGUUGUAAAAAUCUUUUUUACGGGAUGAAAAUGACAGUACCGUAAGAAUAAGGUCCGGCUAAAUACGUGCCAGCAGCCGCGGUAAUACGUAUGGACCGAGCGUUGUCCGGAAUCAUUGGGCGUAAAGGGUACGUAGGCGGCCUAGUAAGUUAGAAGUGAAAUAAUAUAGCUCAACUAUAUAAAGCUUUUAAAACUGCUAGGCUUGAGAGAUGGAAGGGAAAGUGGAAUUCCUAGUGUAGCGGUGAAAUGCGCAGAUAUUAGGAAGGAUACCGGUGGCGAAGGCGACUUUCUGGUCAUCAUCUGACGCUGAGGUACGAAAGCGUGGGUAGCAAGCAGG
rnacentral:rRNA from 1 species